UUAAUUGAAGAGUUUGAUCAUGGCUCAGAUUGAACGCUGGCGGCAGGCCUAACACAUGCAAGUCGAGCGGCAGCACAGAGGAACUUGUUCCUUGGGUGGCGAGCGGCGGACGGGUGAGUAAUGCCUGGGAAAUUGCCCGGUAGAGG
rnacentral:rRNA from 1 species